rnacentral:tRNA from 1 species
ACCUGGCUGGCUCAGUGGUGGAGCAUGGGUCCCUUGAUCUUGUGGUUGUGAGUUCGAGCCCCAUGUUGGGUG